CGUCGCCUUGUUUUACAAAAACAUGUCUUUUUGAUAAUAAUUUAAAGUUUGGCCUGCCCACUGAAAUUUUAAGGGCCGCGGUAUUUUGACCGUGCAAAGGUAGCAUAAUCAUUAGUUUUUUAAUUAAAAGCUGGUAUGAAAGGUUGGAUGAAAAAAGGACUGUCUCUAUUUAAUUUUAAUAAUAAAUUUAUUUUUAAGUUAAAAAGCUUAAAUUUUAUUAAAAGACGAGAAGACCCUAUAGAGUUUAAUAAAAAUUAAAUUUUAAAUUUUUUAGUAUUUUAAUUUUUAAAAUUUAAUUUUUAUUUAAUUGGGGUGAUUAAAAAAUUAAUUUAACUUUUUUUUAUAUAAACAUUGAUUUAUGAAAUUUUGAUCCAUUUUUUAUGAUUAUAAGAUAAAAUUACCUUAGGGAUAACAGCGUAAUUUUUUUUAAGAGUUCAAAUCGAUAAAGAAGAUUGCGACCUCGAUGUUGGAUUAAAAUUAAUUUUUGGUGUAGAAGCUGAAAUAUUGGGUCUGUCGCCCUUAAUU
rnacentral:rRNA from 1 species